UCCCGAGCUGCAACGCCAAAAAAGGUAGUUGCAGGAAGGGGCUACACGCCCUGCCAUCACGGCAAGAGCCUGCAGCAAGCAGCAUUGCUAUGAAAUACAGCCAUGACAGCAAGUAGUGAAAACGAACGUUUGAAAUGGCAGUGAAAAGUAAACGGUGCGCGGGGCUACUGAGC
rnacentral:ncRNA from 1 species